AGGAGAGUUUGAUCCUGGCUCACAACGAACGCUGGCGGCGUGGAUUAUGCAUGCUGGUCGAACGAAGUAACAAUACUCCGCCGGCGACCGGCGCACGGGUGGCUAACGUGUAUGCAACUUACUUGUAACAGGGGUAUAACGGCGGGAAACUUCCACUAAUCCCCCAUAUUGUUGGAGAUUCGCAUGUUUCUCCAACGAAAGGUUCGGUGGUUACGGAUGGGCAUGCGUGACAUUAGCUAGUUGGUAAGGUAACGGCUUACCAAGGCGACGAUGUCUAGGGGAGCUGAGAGGCUUAUCCCCCACACUGGUAUUGAGACACGGACCAGACUCGUACGGGAGGCAGCAGUGAGGAAUAUUGGUCAAUGGACGGAAGUCUGAACCAGCCAUGCCGCGUGGAGGAAGAAGCUCGUAUGGGUUGUAAACUCUUUUUGUUCCGGAGUAAUAAGUGCCUUGCGAGGCACGAUGAGAGUACGGGACGAAUAAGCAUCGGCUAACUCCGUCCCAGCAGCCGCGGUAAUACGGAGGAUGCGAGCGUUAUCCGGAUUUAUUGGGUUUAAAGUGUGAGCAGGUGGCGCGUUAAGUCAGCGGUGAAAUCUUCCGGCUCAACCGGGGAACUGCCACUGAUACUGGCGUGUUAGAGUACGGACGGCGCCGGCGGAAUGUGUCAAGUAGCGGUGAAAUGCUUAGAUAUGCCACCGCACACCGAUCGAGAAGGCAGCUGGUGAGGCCGGAACUGACGCUCAGGCACGAAAGCGUGGGGAUCAAACAGGAUUAGAUACCCUGGUAGUCCCCU
rnacentral:rRNA from 1 species